rnacentral:lncRNA from 1 species
UUAAAAUAUUUUCCUGUACAGUUAUCAUAUGAAAGCGAAUGGUGCUGCUCUUUAAAGACCCAGGAAGAGAGGGAAAGAAAAGACCUCAGACGGAUCUUCACAUAGCACUCAUCUGAUCUGAAAAGGAUGUCUCAGGAUGUAUUCGUACAGCUUGAGCUCCAUUUCAGAAGAAAUCCUCUGUGUGUUCUCUUGAAUUGUAAAGGCUGGUAAGAAUGAGAAGCCCAAGUCAUCCAUUAAUCCACAGGCAAAGUACUAUUCAAGCAGCUGCAGUGAAAGCUCUCUCAUGCUGCCCUGGAAAUAACCCCAGCCUUGACGUGGUGAAUUCCACUUUGAAUACGCUUAACAGAUCAGAACAGUUUGCAAAUGACCUUGAUAAGAUGAAUGCCAUGUGCAUCUGCAGCAGGACAGCUCCAGCAUAG